UACGUAGGGUGCGAGCGUUAAUCGGAAUUACUGGGCGUAAAGCGUGCGCAGGCGGUGAUGUAAGACAGGUGUGAAAUCCCCGGGCUUAACCUGGGAACUGCAUUUGUGACUGCAUCGCUGGAGUGCGGCAGAGGGGGAUGGAAUUCCGCGUGUAGCAGUGAAAUGCGUAGAUAUGCGGAGGAACACCGAUGGCGAAGGCAGCCUCCUGGGAUAACACUGACGCUCAGGCACGAAAGCGUGGGGAGCAAACAGG
rnacentral:rRNA from 1 species